UUAAGCGACUAAGCGUACACGGUGGAUGCCCUGGCAGUCAGAGGCGAUGAAGGACGUGCUAAUCUGCGAAAAGCGUCGGUAAGGUGAUAUGAACCGUUAUAACCGGCGAUGUCCGAAUGGGGAAACCCAGUGCAAUUCGUUGCACUAUCGUUAACUGAAUACAUAGGUUAACGAGGCGAACCGGGGGAACUGAAACAUCUAAGUACCCCGAGGAAAAGAAAUCAACCGAGAUUCCCCCAGUAGCGGCGAGCGAACGGGGAGCAGCCCAGAGUCUGAAUCAGCUUGUGUGUUAGUGGAACGGUCUGGAAAGUCCGACGGUACAGGGUGAUAGUCCCGUACACCAAAAUGCACAGGUUGUGAACUCGAAGAGUAGGGCGGGACACGUGGUAUCCUGUCUGAAUAUGGGGGGACCAUCCUCCAAGGCUAAAUACUCCUGACUGACCGAUAGUGAACCAGUACCGUGAGGGAAAGGCGAAAAGAACCCCGGCGAGGGGAGUGAAAAAGAACCUGAAACCGUGUACGUACAAGCAGUGGGAGCACCUUCGGGUGUGACUGCGUACCUUUUGUAUAAUGGGUCAGCGACUUAUAUUCUGUAGCAAGGUUAACCGUAUAGGGGAGCCGCAGGGAAACCGAGUCUUAACUGGGCGUUAAGUUGCAGGGUAUAGACCCGAAACCCGGUGAUCUAGCCAUGGGCAGGUUGAAGGUUGGGUAACACUAACUGGAGGACCGAACCGACUAAUGUUGAAAAAUUAGCGGAUGACUUGUGGCUGGGGGUGAAAGGCCAAUCAAACCGGGAGAUAGCUGGUUCUCCCCGAAAGCUAUUUAGGUAGCGCCUCGUGAACUCAUCUUCGGGGGUAGAGCACUGUUUCGGCUAGGGGGUCAUCCCGACUUACCAACCCGAUGCAAACUACGAAUACCGAAGAAUGUUAUCACGGGAGACACACGGCGGGUGCUAACGUCCGUCGUGAAGAGGGAAACAACCCAGACCGCCAGCUAAGGUCCCAAAGUCAUGGUUAAGUGGAAACGAUGUGGGAAGGCACAGACAGCCAGGAUGUUGGCUUAGAAGCAGCCAUCAUUUAAAGAAAGCGUAAUAGCUCACUGGUCGAGUCGGCCUGCGCGGAAGAUGUAACGGGGCUAAACCAUGCACCGAAGCUGCGGCAGCGACACUAUGUGUUGUUGGGUAGGGGAGCGUUCUGUAAGCCUGCGAAGGUGACCUGUGAGGGUUGCUGGAGGUAUCAGAAGUGCGAAUGCUGACAUAAGUAACGAUAAAGCGGGUGAAAAGCCCGCUCGCCGGAAGACCAAGGGUUCCUGUCCAACGUUAAUCGGGGCAGGGUGAGUCGACCCUAAGGCGAGGCCGAAAGGCGUAGUCGAUGGGAAACAGGUUAAUAUUCCUGUACUUGGUGUUACUGCGAAGGGGACGGAGAAGGCUAUGUUAGCCGGGCGACGGUUGUCCCGGUUUAAGCAUGUAGGCUGGUUAUCCAGGCAAAUCCGGAUAAUCAAGGCUGAGGUGUGAUGACGAGGCACUACGGUGCUGAAGUAACAAAUGCCCUGCUUCCAGGAAAAGCCUCUAAGCAUCAGGUAACAUCAAAUCGUACCCCAAACCGACACAGGUGGUCAGGUAGAGAAUACCAAGGCGCUUGAGAGAACUCGGGUGAAGGAACUAGGCAAAAUGGUGCCGUAACUUCGGGAGAAGGCACGCUGGUGUAGGUGAAGUCCCUGCGGAUGGAGCUGAGACCAGUCGAAGAUACCAGCUGGCUGCAACUGUUUAUUAAAAACACAGCACUGUGCAAACACGAAAGUGGACGUAUACGGUGUGACGCCUGCCCGGUGCCGGAAGGUUAAUUGAUGGGGUUAUCCGUAAGGAGAAGCUCUUGAUCGAAGCCCCGGUAAACGGCGGCCGUAACUAUAACGGUCCUAAGGUAGCGAAAUUCCUUGUCGGGUAAGUUCCGACCUGCACGAAUGGCGUAAUGAUGGCCAGGCUGUCUCCACCCGAGACUCAGUGAAAUUGAACUCGCUGUGAAGAUGCAGUGUACCCGCGGCAAGACGGAAAGACCCCGUGAACCUUUACUAUAGCUUGACACUGAACAUUGAGCCUUGAUGUGUAGGAUAGGUGGGAGGCUUUGAAGCGUGGACGCCAGUCUGCGUGGAGCCAACCUGAAAUACCACCCUUUAAUGUUUGAUGUUCUAACGUUGGCCCCUGACCGGGGUUGCGGACAGUGUCUGGUGGGUAGUUUGACUGGGGCGGUCUCCUCCCAAAGCGUAACGGAGGAGCACGAAGGUUAGCUAAUCCUGGUCGGACAUCAGGAGGUUAGUGCAAUGGCAUAAGCUAGCUUGACUGCGAGCGUGACGGCGCGAGCAGGUGCGAAAGCAGGUCAUAGUGAUCCGGUGGUUCUGAAUGGAAGGGCCAUCGCUCAACGGAUAAAAGGUACUCCGGGGAUAACAGGCUGAUACCGCCCAAGAGUUCAUAUCGACGGCGGUGUUUGGCACCUCGAUGUCGGCUCAUCACAUCCUGGGGCUGAAGUAGGUCCCAAGGGUAUGGCUGUUCGCCAUUUAAAGUGGUACGCGAGCUGGGUUUAGAACGUCGUGAGACAGUUCGGUCCCUAUCUGCCGUGGGCGCUGGAGAAUUGAGGGGGGCUGCUCCUAGUACGAGAGGACCGGAGUGGACGCAUCACUGGUGUUCGGGUUGUCAUGCCAAUGGCACUGCCCGGUAGCUAAAUGCGGAAGAGAUAAGUGCUGAAAGCAUCUAAGCACGAAACUUGCCCCGAGAUGAGUUCUCCCUGAGACUUUAAGUCUCCUGAAGGAACGUUAAAGACGAUGACGUUGAUAGGCCGGGUGUGUAAGCGCAGCGAUGCGUUGAGCUAACCGGUACUAAUGAACCGUGAGGCUUAACCU
rnacentral:rRNA from 1 species